rnacentral:ncRNA from 1 species
ACCGCCCAUCGCUACUAAUACCGAUUGAAUGAUUUUAGUGAGUUCUUCGGACUGUGCGCGGCAAUGUCUCGGAAUUGCCGGGAAAAUGACCAAACUUGAUCAUUUAGAAGAAGUAAAAGUCGUAACAAGGUUUACGUAGGUGAACCUACGGAAG